rnacentral:rRNA from 1 species
ACGGGUGAGUAACACGUGAGUAACCUGCCCUCAUCUCUGGGAUAACAAUCGGAAACGGUUGCUAAUACUGGAUAUGAGCCUGCAAGGCAUCUUGUGGGUUGGAAAGAUUUUUUGGUUGGGGAUGGACUCGCGGCCUAUCAGCUUGUUGGUGAGGUAGUGGCUCACCAAGGCUUCGACGGGUAGCCGGCCUGAGAGGGCGACCGGCCACAUUGGGACUGAGAUACGGCCCAAACUCCUACGGGAGGCAGCAGUGGGGAAUAUUGCACAAUGGACGGAAGUCUGAUGCAGCAACGCCGCGUGCGGGAUGACGGCCUUCGGGUUGUAAACCGCUUUCAAUUGUGACGAAGCUUUUUGUGACGGUAGCAGUAGAAGAAGCACCGGCUAACUACGUGCCAGCAGCCGCGGUGAUACGUAGGGUGCGAGCGUUGUCCGGAUUUAUUGGGCGUAAAGAGCUUGUAGGUGGUUUGUCGCGUCGGGAGUGAAAACUCAGGGCUUAACUCUGAGCUUGCUUUCGAUACGGGCUGACUUGAGGGAGGUAGGGGAGAAUGGAAUUCCUGGUGGAGCGGUGGAAUGCGCAGAUAUCAGGAGGAACACCGGUGGCGAAGGCGGUUCUCUGGACCUUUCCUGACGCUGAGGCUCGAAAGCGUGGGGAGCAAACAGGAUUAGAUACCCU